CCUACGGGCGGCAGCAGUGAGGAAUAUUGGUCAAUGGCCGGAAGGCUGAACCAGCCAUGCCGCGUGAAGGUCAGUGCCCUAUGGGCGUUAAACUUCUUUUGUGCGGGAGCAAUAAUGGUCACGUGUGGCCAGACGAGAGUACCGUACGAAUAAGCAUCGGCUAACUCCGUGCCAGCAGCCGCGGUAAUACGUGGGAUGCAAGCGUUAUCCGGAUUUAUUGGGUUUAAAGGGUGCGUAGGCUGUGAGGUAAGUCAGCGGUGAAAUGCCCCCGCUCAACGGGGUGAAGUGCCAUUGAUACUGCCUGGCUGGAAUGCGGAUGCCGUGGGAGGAAUGUGUGGUGUAGCGGUGAAAUGCAUAGAUAUCACACAGAACACCGAUUGCGAAGGCAUCUCACGAAUCCGCGAUUGACGCUGAUGCACGAAAGCGUGGGUAUCAAACAGGAUUAGAUACCCCAGUAGUC
rnacentral:rRNA from 1 species